rnacentral:misc_RNA from 1 species
UGCAAAAGCCAAAAUCGAC